CAGUCGCCAUCGAUGGUGGCGCCACAGCUAUCCUAGCAGACGUUCCCGCCUUUUUUAUGUGUUUAGUUAACAUUGCCGGUUGUAAAUCGGCUUUGAAUACGAUUGUUGUGUACUGUACUUCGUCCAUUCAUUUACAUAUUAAGUUGAUAUGGCCGUCAUAUUCAAAUUGGCGCUGACCAUUAAUGCUUUAUACCUAAGUUAAAAGGUUUCAUAGAUGGCUUCUUGAAGAACGAAAGAACCGUUCCCAUUGUAUGGCUGGCGAUGCUCGCUACUUGCGCCACGCUAUGGAAUUUUUAGGUGGCUAGAUAUACGGAUUAAUCUAGAACUGCAUUAAACUUCUGAUCUAAAAAACAACUUAGGUAGAGGUAGGCCUCUGCAUACGUACCUAAAAUAGGUAUUAUUAAAUGGCUUUCGUUACCGGAACAGUAAAAGGAAAUAAAUACUAAUAGCAACAGCCUAAUCAGAUGAUUAAAGUAGGAAAUCAAUUAAAAUGAAUUGCCAAGGGGGACAAAUUAUCCAAAGCACACUUGAAUAUGCCAAAUGACGAGAUAUUUUCCAGAAAAUAUCUCGUCAUUUUGCGAUAAGAACGAGUUCUGAUUCAUAAUAAGUUCGUAAUUUCAAGUCCUGGCAUAGUAAUUGGCAACGCGGAGCAGAAGGACGAAGAGACUCAGCGAUUUGAUGUAUAUUGUACGUAUAUUGAAGUAUGUAUCAACUGAAGCAAAGGUUGGCGGUCUAUUGGCCCGUCUGAAAGCGUUGUUGACGGCAGCUGAUAGUUCGGAUCUCUUACGACAUGAUGUGAUACAUCGACAACAGCCAUUGGAAGGAACAAUCGGUCCAGGGGAAG